UCCGGUAACUAUGGCGAGAAGGUCACACCCGUUCCCAUCCCGAACACGGAAGUUAAGCUUCUCAGC
rfam:Bacillus sp. VT-16-70 Bacillus_obstructivus_contig180, whole genome shotgun sequence.